CGGUCUACACCGGGAUGUUCAUAACCCUUUGUUGUCCGACUCUGUUGCCUCCGGGGCGACCCUGCCUUCGGGCGGGGGCUCCGGGUGGACACUUCAAACUCUUGCGUAACUUUGCAGUCUGAGUAAACUUAAUUAAUAAAUUAAAACUUUUAACAACGGAUCUCUUGGUUCUGGCAUCGAUGAAGAACGCAGCGAAAUGCGAUAAGUAAUGUGAAUUGCAGAAUUCAGUGAAUCAUCGAAUCUUUGAACGCACAUUGCGCCCCCUGGUAUUCCGGGGGGCAUGCCUGUUCGAGCGUCAUUUCACCACUCAAGCCUCGCUUGGUAUUGGGCAUCGCGGUCCGCCGCGUGCCUCAAAUCGACCGGCUGGGUCUUCUGUCCCCUAAGCGUUGUGGAAACUAUUCGCUAAAGGGUGUUCGGGAGGCUACGCCGUAAAACAACCCCAUUUCUAAGGUUGACCUCGGAUCAGGUAGGGAUACCCGCUGAACUUAAGCAUAUCAUA
rnacentral:rRNA from 1 species